GGCUGCGGGGCGGGCGGCCCCGCUUUCCUCUCCGGCGGAGCGUCCCGUUCCCCAGCCUCCAGGCGGGGGUGAGGGUUCUCGCUGUGCCAUUCAGGCUGUCCUUAAACUCGCUGUGUGUCCCAGGCUGGCCUCCAACUCCCGGCGAUCCUUGAGAGACAACGCCCUGCUUGUUCGGUUGCAACAUGUUCCGG